rnacentral:rRNA from 1 species
CAUGCAGGCGAACGAUGAAGCCCUUCGGGGUGGAUUAGUGGCGAACGGGUGAGUAACACGUGGGCAAACUGCGCUGCACUCUGGGACAAGCCCUGGAAACGGGGUCUAAUACCGGAUAUGACUGUCCACCGCAUGGUGGAUGGUGUAAAGCUCCGGCGGUGCAGGAUGAGCCCGCGGCCUAUCAGCUUGUUGGUGAGGUAGUGGCUCACCAAGGCGACGACGGGUAGCCGGCCUGAGAGGGCGACCGGCCACACUGGGACUGAGACACGGCCCAGACUCCUACGGGAGGCAGCAGUGGGGAAUAUUGCACAAUGGGCGAAAGCCUGAUGCAGCGACGCCGCGUGAGGGAUGACGGCCUUCGGGUUGUAAACCUCUUUCAGCAGGGAAGAAGCGAAAGUGACGGUACCUGCAGAAGAAGCGCCGGCUAACUACGUGCCAGCAGCCGCGGUAAUACGUAGGGCGCAAGCGUUGUCCGGAAUUAUUGGGCGUAAAGAGCUCGUAGGCGGCUUGUCACGUCGGUUGUGAAAGCCCGGGGCUUAACCCCGGGUCUGCAGUCGAUACGGGCAGGCUAGAGUUCGGUAGGGGAGAUCGGAAUUCCUGGUGUAGCGGUGAAAUGCGCAGAUAUCAGGAGGAACACCGGUGGCGAAGGCGGAUCUCUGGGCCGAUACUGACGCUGAGGAGCGAAAGCGUGGGGAGCGAACAGGAUUAGAUACCCUGGUAGUCC